UUCCCUUUCCACCAUGAUUGCAAGUUUCCUGAGGCCUCCCUAGCCAUGCUGAACUUUGCAGAUUGAGGGUGGAGUCCUGUGAUUUUCAGGCUCUUCAAGUUAACAAUACUUGCAAAGAUGAAGAUGGAAUUCUCUGUCAUCCAUGAAGCACAGUUUUUAAAGUAUCUAGUGUAUAUAAGGACAAGCCAUUCUCAGUCAAGCAUGAAACUGAAUCUGAGGAAAAGAAGAAAGCUGAAAACACACUGAGGAUUAUGGGAGAGGGGCAAGUGCAUGAAGCUUCUCAAUGACAUACAGACACUCUAAAAGCUCAAGAGAUCAAUUAUUCAACUUCAAGAACUGAAAUUUGAACACAGAUUUUGAGCUUCCAAAUCAGGAGAAAAAGAAGUGUUCUAUAAGAAGUUUGGACAAGACUCUGCAAGAAGUUAAGAGCAGGUCCUUAAAGGCAACUGUGAAUUAACGGAGACUAGUUUUGAGAAAAUCAGUCCUGAUUUGUUUCUCCUGGAGUUUUCUUCUUUAUGUGAUCCUUCAUAAAAGCUGCUAAUAUGGGAAAGAUUGAAAUCAGCAAGUUUCUGGCUGUAAGCUAAAAGAGGCUCUUGAAUCAUAUUUCCGCCUGCUUAGCAAAUUUCUCUUGCGACAAUUGGAUGUUAUUUGGGGUUCCAUACUAGCAGGAAGAAGUACAAGCAAAGCUAAGUCAUUUUGAGAAUAAAUAUUAUCUCUCUAUAUAUUUGUAAAUGUUAUUUUCUUUUUUUUUGAGGUUUAUGAUUGAUCCUUGGCAUGUGUCCCCUUGUGUAUUGCUCUACUAAAAAUAGCCUAAAAAAGAAUUUUCCCCUCGAUGUGGAGCUUCUCUUUAGUUACAAUUCUACUUUCUCCUUCACUUGAGUAUCAGUCUUCAGAGAACUACCAUAACAAAGGAGUGGAUACAGAUAUACGCAAAAAAGUCUAUGAGAAAAUUAGUACAUUAAAUUUGUGAAAGCUCAUUUAAAGUAAUUUUCUACUAACAAUUUUAAUCAAAUGUAUUAAUCAUAUUUCUAUGCUUAGUGAUGUUAAAUAAAAAUUUAAAAGGUGGCAAUCAAUAAACAGAGAUAAAAGCUUCUCAAGAAUAAAUGAAAGGAAGUAAUAAAAAGACUCACUAAGCUGAAUUGCCUCCUAUCAACAGCAGCUGAUAAAAUAUUAAAAGAUUUGCCUUGUGUAAUGUCUCUGGAGAGCUGUCUUACUGAUGUACGAGGCCAUGAUUGACAACUUUGAGACUUUGCUGGAAGCGACAAAAGUAUAUCUAUAAUAUUAUGCUGAAUUGCAUAGGUCUUUCUUCUUAAAUGAGGCUAGAAAUAACAUACCACCAAGUGUUUGGCUUUUAGGAAAUUGAGCAUUUUCUUUAGUUCUAGCUGCAGUUUAAUUUCCUCAGAAUUAGACAUUAUGCGGUAUCUGGAACGUUAAAAAAAAAAAAAAGCAAAAA
ensembl:lncRNA LINC01473 long intergenic non-protein coding RNA 1473